GACGUAGGCAGCGAGCGUUGUUCGGAGUUACUGGGCGUAAAGGGUGCGUAGGCGGGUCUUUAAGUCAGGGGUGAAAUCCUGGAGCCCAACUCCAGAACUGCCUUUGAUACUGAGGAUCUUGAGUACGGGAGAGGUGAGUGGAACUGCGAGUGUAGAGGUGAAAUUCGUAGAUAUUCGGAAGAACACCAGUGGCGAAGGCGGCUCACUGGCCCGAUACUGACGCUGAGGCACGAAAGCGUGGGGAGCAAACAGG
rnacentral:rRNA from 1 species